rnacentral:rRNA from 1 species
CGCGGCCUAUCAGCUUGUUGGUGGGGUGAUGGCCUACCAAGGCGACGACGGGUAGCCGGCCUGAGAGGGUGUCCGGCCACACUGGGACUGAGAUACGGCCCAGACUCCUACGGGAGGCAGCAGUGGGGAAUAUUGCACAAUGGGCGCAAGCCUGAUGCAGCGACGCCGCGUGGGGGAUGACGGCCUUCGGGUUGUAAACCUCUUUCACCAUCGGCGAAGCCAGAUGCUUUUGUGUCUGGUGACGGUAGGUGGAGAAGAAGCACCGGCCAACUACGUGCCAGCAGCCGCGGUAAUACGUAGGGUGCGAGCGUUGUCCGGAAUUACUGGGCGUAAAGAGCUCGUAGGUGGUUUGUCGCGUUGUCCGUGAAAUUCCCUGGCUUAACUGGGGGCGUGCGGGCGAUACGGGCAGACUGGAGUACUGCAGGGGAGACUGGAAUUCCUGGUGUAGCGGUGGAAUGCGCAGAUAUCAGGAGGAACACCGGUGGCGAAGGCGGGUCUCUGGGCAGUAACUGACGCUGAGGAGCGAAAGCGUGGGGAGCGAACAGGAUUAGAUACCCUGGUAGUCCACGCCGUAAACGGUGGGUACUAGGUGUGGGUUUCCUUCCUUGGGAUCCGUGCCGUAGCUAACGCAUUAAGUACCCCGCCUGGGGAGUACGGGCGGCCUAU